rnacentral:rRNA from 1 species
GACGAACGCUGGCGGCGUGCUUAACACAUGCAAGUCGAACGCUGAAGCUUGGUGCUUGCACUGGGUGGAUGAGUGGCGAACGGGUGAGUAAUACGUGAGUAACCUGCCCUUGACUCUGGGAUAAGCCUGGGAAACUGGGUCUAAUACUGGAUACGACAUGUCACCGCAUGGUGGUGUGUGGAAAGGGUUUUACUGGUUUUGGAUGGGCUCACGGCCUAUCAGCUUGUUGGUGGGGUAAUGGCUCACCAAGGCGACGACGGGUAGCCGGCCUGAGAGGGUGACCGGCCACACUGGGACUGAGACACGGCCCAGACUCCUACGGGAGGCGGCAGUGGGGAAUAUUGCACAAUGGGCGGAAGCCUGAUGCAGCGACGCCGCGUGAGGGAUGACGGCCUUCGGGUUGUAAACCUCUUUCAGCACGGAAGAAGCGAAAGUGACGGUACGUGCAGAAGAAGCGCCGGCUAACUACGUG